rnacentral:misc_RNA from 1 species
AUUCAUGAUUCUCUGUUGUUAUGGGUUUUUAGAUUCAUUUAUGUCCCUGUUGUAAAUGAACUGGGAUUUCAAUUUAAUGUAGGUUUUGUCUGGUUAAUGGGGUGUAACUGAAAUCUAAAGGAAUAAUUUUUUUGAUUACUAUCAUGUUUUGGAUGCUAAAGGAUCCGAUUAUGGAUUUGGACAAUGAAUAAUGAAUAUUGUGCAUAAGAUCCUUGAAGGGUCUUUUGCUUUUCUUGUAGUUAGAUUCCCAUUUUCUUAAUUUGCGAUUAUAAUAUGACCCCUUUUUGCUUGAACAUCAAGCUA